UACGGAAGGUGCAAGCGUUGUUCGGAUUGACUGGGCGUAAAGAGCACGUAGGCGGGUUUGUAAGUCGAUUGUGAAAGCCCCGGGCUUAACCUGGGAACGGCAAUCGAAACUGCAAAUCUUGAAUACCUGAGAGGUUAGUGGAAUUCCUGGUGUAGGAGUGAAAUCCGUAGAUAUCAGGAGGAACACCGGCGGCGAAGGCGGCUAACUGGCAGAGUAUUGACGCUGAGGUGCGAAAGCGUGGGGAGCAAACAGG
rnacentral:rRNA from 1 species